CGCUGCAGCGGCGCCCCGGCGGCGGUGACCUGUAACUCCUCAUGGCUUCUCCGACCAUGAAGACCUUCUUCGAGAUCUUGGACCACACCGAUGUUUGCGGCCGUCUCGGGUGAAGCUUCUCCGGCAGUCGUUACUCCUCGCGGACGAUUACCUCAGGUACACCUGGUCUUAGCACAGAAUCUGUGUAUGACAUACUUGGUGAGGAAGGUCUCUCCAUUUCAUCAACUGAACCAUGCUGAAACCAAAUCCCAAACACAUGGUUUUGCAAAGGAGACUGACGAUGGCGCGGAUGAAGAGUUGCAGCAACUCCAUUUUAAGGACAAAUUAAAAAUGAGAACAUGGCUGAAACGUUUAGCCUGUUUUUUUUAUCCUGUUUAAGUUCAGACUCAUAAAAGAGAUUGUUGGUGACAGUGUUGUUUUGUUUCUAUCGCUUGUCCCUAUCGCUAUGCUUACUGUCAACUCUAGUAUUGUAAUAGCAACAAGGUCUGGAUGUUCUUAGUCU